AACGACUCUCGGCAACGGAUAUCUCGGCUCACGCAUCGAUGAAGAACGUAGCAAAAUGCGAUACUUGGUGUGAAUUGCAGAAUCCCGUGAACCAUCGAGUUUUUGAACGCAAGUUGCGCCCAAAGCCAUCCGGCCGAGGGCACGUCUGCCUGGGCGUCACGC
rnacentral:rRNA from 2 species